rnacentral:rRNA from 1 species
ACCAUGGUGGUAACGGGUAACGGGGUGUUAGGGCACGACACCGGAGAGGGAGCCUGAGAAACGGCUACCACAUCCAAGGAUGGCAGCAGGCGCGCAAAUUACCCAAUCCCGACACGGGGAGGUAGUGACAAUAAAUAACAAUACGGGGUUCUUUCGGAUCUCGUAAUUGGAAUGAGUACAAUUUAAAUCUCUUAACGAGGAACAAUUGGAGGGCAAGUCUGGUGCCAGCAGCCGCGGUAAUUCCAGCUCCAAUAGCGUAUAUUAAAGUUGUUGCAGUUAAAAAGCUCGUAGUUGAAUUUCGGGGUUAGUAGGUUGGUCAUGCCUCUGGUAUGUACUGGUCUCACUGAUUCCUCCUUCCUUAUGAACCGUAAUGCCAUUAAUUUGGUGUUGCGGGGAAUUUGGACUGUUACUUUGAAAAAAUUAGAGUGUUUAAAGCAAGCUAACGCUUGAAUACAUUAGCAUGGAAUAAUGAAAUAGGACGUUCGAUCUUAUUUUGUUGGUUUCUAGGAUUGACGUAAUGAUUAAUAGGGAUAGUUGGGGGCAUUAGUAUUCAAUUGUCAGAGGUGAAAUUCUUGGAUUUAUUGAAGACUAACUACUGCGAAAGCAUUUGCCAAGGAUGUUUUCAUUAAUCAAGAACGAAAGUUAGGGGAUCGAAGACGAUCAGAUACCGUCGUAGUCUUAACCAUAAACUAUGCCGACUAGGGAUCGG